rnacentral:rRNA from 1 species
CUCACUGCGGUGUCGUAGGCGAGAUCGAGAAGGCCGGGGGUGGAGCGACGGCGACGAAUUCGUCGAUGGCGUCGCGGUGGUUGGAGGUUGAAGACGACAUCGAUCCCUGCGAUCCAGGGGCUCCCGGCUCCAACUGGUGGACGUAGUCGAAGGAGUGGACGUCGGCGAAGCUCGCGGACGAGGUGGCUGGGCGUGGGGAGCUCGGUGGGCGCGUGGAUGUCGGAGGCCAUGGCGAUGCAGGUUCGGCCAAGGGUUGCGGGGACGAAAGCGGCACAGGGGAGGGGAAAA